rnacentral:sRNA from 1 species
CGAGGAUGAGCGGCAGGCCUAACACAUGCAAGUCGAACGGUAACAGUUGACGCUUGCUUCUUGGCUGACGAGUGGCGGACGGGUGAGUAAUGUCUGGGAAACUGCCUGAUGGAGGGGGAUAACUACUGGAAACGGUAGCUAAUACCGCAUAACGUCGCAAGACCAAAGAGGGGGACCUUCGGGCCUCUUGCCAUCGGAUGUGCCCAGAUGGGAUUAGCUAGUAGGUGGGGUAACGGCUCACCUAGGCGACUAUCCCUAGCUGGUCUGAGAGGAUGACCAGCCACACUGGAACUGAGACACGGUCCAGACUCCUACGGGAGGCAGCAGUGGG